AUGCUUACCUGGCUCAAGGGAUGCCACUAUCACGAAGGCGGUUUCCCCAGGGUGAGGCUCUUCCAUUCAGGCACGUCGGUUACGUUGGUCCCUUUGAUUACCCAAAAUCUGGGUGGUUUGUUAGUACAAUUGGUGAUAGCGAGGUAAUGUUCGUGGUUCAACCCUA